rnacentral:rRNA from 1 species
GGCAAGUAUAUAAAGAAAUUAUUAUGGAUAGUUAGCUAUAUAUUAAAGAAUAACUAGUAAAUCUAGUUUCUAAGAGAAAUCGAAUAAUAAACGAAGUGAAUUGAAAUAUCUUAGUAACUUUAGGAAAAGAAAUCAAACGAGAUUGUUAUUUGGUGCAAACUAAAUAACAAGAGCCUAUUAACAAAACUUGUUAAAGUAAAAUGGAUUAAAAUCUGUUUGAAUAUAGGGGAACCUUCCUCUAAGGCUAAAUAUGAUAUAUAAGCGAUAGUGAAAAGUACCGUGAGGUAAAAUUUGAAAUAGUAGUUUUAUAAGCAGCUCGAGUGAAAAUUUAAAUAAGUAAUAAGAGUGUACCUUUUGCAUAAUGGGUCAGCAAGUUAAUUUUAGAUGCAAGCAAUGAUUUCGUGCGCUUUGCGCAUGAAACUAGCUUAGAUAAACCAAUUAUGAGAAAAUGAAUAAGUAUCUAGAAUUAGACCCGAAGGCUAGUGAUCUUACCAUGGUCAGGGUUAUAAAAGCCCGAACGGGUUAUCGUUGUAUAGAUAUCCGAAGAACUGUGGUAAGUUAGUGAAAGACAAAACUGACUAGUAUAGCUGGUUUUCCGCGAAACCUAUAUGAGUAGGUAAUUUAACUAACAUCUUAGCAGGUACAGAACUGUGAUCUCGGACAAUAUCUUUUGAUUUUGUCAACAUCGGGGGGUUGUAGUGACUUUACCGGAGAGUAUUUGCACUCGGAAUGGCAAAGAUGAAUGUUGAAUAAUCGGACAUAGUGCGAUAAGGUUGUAUGUCUAAAGGGAAACAGCCCAGAACAAGAGUUAAGGUUCCAAAAUUAUUGUUGAGUGAAAUUAAGGAUGUUUUUUUUAAAAACAAUCAGGAAAUAGGCUUAGAAGCGGCCAUUUUUUGAAGACCUCGUAACAGAGCACUGAUUAAUUUAUUAAUUUAGAAAAAAACACCGAAAAUUUAACGGAUCUAAACAAUAUACCGAAACCUUGUACACAUAUUUAUAAUAUUAAUAUUGUAUAUGUGGGGUAGCGGAACAUUGGAUAAAUAUUAAUUAUUAUUUCUUCUAAGAAAUAAUAAGUAUGGAUUAUUAUUAAAAAUAUUUAUUUAUUAAAGAUAUUUAUGUAAUAUUAUUAUACCUAAAAGGUAUAAUGUUUAGAUGAAUAUAUAGAUAGAUUAAAUCUGUCUUUAUUAUUAAUAUAAUCCAUCGAUAUAAUCCAAGAGAGAAUGCUGACAUGAGUAACGAAAAAGGAAUAUCCUCGCCUUAAGCUUAUGGUAUUUUAUUUAAUUUUCGGUAUCUAAAAAUAUUAAUCAAAAGGUAAUUUUGAUGAUAUUUAUAUAUAAAUACUAAUAUAAUAAAAAACAAAACCUUUAACAAGUAAUAAAGGUUCUGGAAAAUUUUUUAUUAUAAGUGAAUAUAUAAUAUUUAUUUCUUGAGUAUUAUACAAUAUAGAUAUGUUAUAAUUUAUAUAAUUUUCUUGUUACAAGUUUUCAAGAUUGUAUAGAUUUUAUCAAUAUUGAAUAAAUUUCAUUCUUAUACUAUUGUAUAAGUAAGGUUUAUAUAUACCGUACCUAGAUACUAUCACAAGUAAGCAAGUAGAGAAUACAAAGGCGUUUGAGUGAACAAUCAUUAAGGAACUCGGCAAAUUGACUACCGUAACUUCGGGAUAAGGAGGGCCAUUAUGAUUAGUUUAACAUAUCUUAUGAUAUGAUUUAAUUAAACUAAUCAUAAGAGGAAACAUGAAAUAAUGUUGUACGACUGUUUAAUAAAAACACAGCACUCUGCAAAGAUAAAAUAUCAAAGUAUUGAGUGUGAUGUCUGCCCAAUGUCGGCUGGGUAACGGAUUUACCUUGGUUUUUAACUGAGGUUUUGAAGGAUACCCCGAUUAAUGGCGGCCUUACCUAUGAGGGUCCUAAGGUAGCGAAAUACCUUGGCCGUUAAAUGCGGUCCUGCAUGAAUGACUUAACGAUACAACAGCUGUCUCGAUGAUUGUCUCAGUGAAAUUGGAAUAGCAGUGCAGAUACUGUUUACCUCUAGAUAGACGAGAAGACCCUAUGCAGCUUUACUGUUACUAAUUGCAAGAGUGAAAAUUUAGGAUGAUUUCGAGUGUAUAAGGUAGUUGUUUGAUAACAAUGAAACACCUUUAUUCGUUUCCUACUAUAUGCUCUUGAGGAUUGGGAGGCAGUUUAUGCGGGGCACAGAUCCCACAAAAAGUACCUGGGUAUAUCCAAAGUUCAUUUUGUAAAUUUGUAAAUUUCUUUACAAAUAUUUUAAUUUGUUAUAAUUAUAUUCAUAAUUAUACAGUUAUUGUUAGAUUAAGUUCAAUAUUUAUUUUUUAUUUAAGUAAGAUUUUAACUAUAUGGUGAAUAGAUGUAUUUUAAACUUUACCCCUCCGGGAUAUUUAAAAGUUUUUUCUCAUAUUAAUAUUGUAUUUUAUCUUUAUUGAUAUGAUAAUUAAUUAUACUUUAAAAGUUUAAUGGCUAAAUCUUGCUUUACUGUUUGACCUACAAGUCUAUCAGUCGCGUAAGCGGGGCAUAUGAUCACAAGAUGCAUAAAGGAAAGGUCUUGGAUUAUAGAAAAAGUUACGCUAGGGAUUUAUAUCUGUGAGUCCUCCAAUAUUAAAAAAUAUUGGUAAU